UUGGGUCUGAAUCAAGCCUAGCUAUUUGCUGAAGCUGUUGGUUUCAAGGAGGAACCCAAAGAAAUAUCGUUCUAUGGUCUAAUGAACAUUUCAAAGUUCCCAGAACUUUGGAAAUAUAAUGGUCAAUGCAUUGGGAACAAAUACCA
ensembl:snoRNA